CCAUGCCAGAUUCUGCGGCCGCCACGGUGGCCGCAGCCGUGCAUUUUAAUCUGGUCGCGCCCAUGGCCACAGGUCAUGCAAAGCCAGUACGGGAAACCGCGUCAAUAGGCGUAGGUCUUAUGGCAGCUUCCGCGCCGAUACAGAUAGGCAUUGACGCAGCGGCGUGUAGGCGCAACACACCC
rnacentral:sRNA from 12 species